AUGUCUCUCUCUUGUUAUCUUCUCUAUCAUCAUCAUUAUUCCCACAUCAUCCUCUUCACUUUAGGUCUCAACCACCCCCACAAACCUAAAGCCAUCAUCAUUACUUCAACUCACAAACAAGGUCAAGAUCUAACUCCACUCUCUUUUUCAGAAACUUGUAUUGCUUCAUCAACCAAAAAAGUUAACCCUAUUAUUAUUACAUGCACCCCACCAUCACUACUACCAUCACUUUCUUAUAUAGUUUCUGACUGA